GCCCUCGUGGUGUAAUGGAUAACACAUGAGAUUCCGGUUCUCAUACUGGGGGUUCGAUUCCCUUCGGGGGCG
rnacentral:tRNA from 3 species